rnacentral:rRNA from 1 species
UACGAAGGGUGCAAGCGUUAAUCGGAAUUACUGGGCGUAAAGGGUGCGUAGGCGGUUCGUUAAGUCUGUCGUGAAAUCCCCGGGCUCAACCUGGGAAUGGCGAUGGAUACUGGCGAGCUAGAGUGUGGCAGAGGAUGGUGGAAUUCCCGGUGUAGCGGUGAAAUGCGUAGAGAUCGGGAGGAACACCAGUGGCGAAGGCGGCCAUCUGGGACAACACUGACGCUGAGGCACGAAAGCGUGGGGAGCAAACAGG